AACGAACGCUGGCGGCAUGCCUAACACAUGCAAGUCGAACGAAGGCUUCGGCCUUAGUGGCGCACGGGUGCGUAACGCGUGGGAAUCUGCCCUUAGGUUCGGAAUAACAGUUAGAAAUGACUGCUAAUACCGGAUGAUGACGUAAGUCCAAAGAUUUAUCGCCUGAGGAUGAGCCCGCGUAGGAUUAGCUAGUUGGUGUGGUAAAGGCGCACCAAGGCGACGAUCCUUAGCUGGUCUGAGAGGAUGAUCAGCCACACUGGGACUGAGACACGGCCCAGACCCCUACGGUAGGCAGCAGUGGGGAAUAUUGGACAAUGGGCGCAAGCCUGAUCCAGCAAUGCCGCGUGAGUGAUGAAGGCCUUAGGGUUGUAAAGCUCUUUUACCCGUGAUGAUAAUGACAGUAGCGGGAGAAUAAGCCCCGGCUAACUCCGU
rnacentral:rRNA from 1 species